rnacentral:rRNA from 1 species
UGGGGAAUAUUGCACAAUGGAGGGAACUCUGAUGCAGCGACGCCGCGUGAGUGAUGAAGGACUUCGUUUCGUAAAACUCUGUUCUAUGGGAAGAAAAGGACUGUACCAUAGGAGAAAGCUCCGGCUAAAUACGUGCCAGCAGCCGCGGUAAUACGUAUGGAGCGAGCGUUGUCCGGAAUUAUUGGGCGUAAGGGGUGCGCAGGCGGCUUUACAAGUUGGAUGUGAAAUAUUGUGGCUCAACCACAAACGUGCAUCCAAAACUGCAAAGCUUGAGUUAAGGAGAGGUAAGUGGAAUUCCUGGUGUAGCGGUGGAAUGCGUAGAUAUCAGGAGGAAUACCGGUGGCGAAGGCGACUUACUGGACUUAAACUGACGCUCAGGCACGAAAGCGUGGGGAGCAAACAGG